GGUGCGCGCCGGAAGAGCGCCGCAGUGGCAGCAGCGAGACUGGAGCGAAAUGGCGUAGCGUGCUUUCCAUCGCCGCAGCGCUUCGGGACCAGGCUCUUUGAGCCUCCCCGAUCCUGACGGGUCAUUUGCAGGGUGGAAAUGUAUCUGAGAAACCGUUGCAGUUUAUUCGCUUCCAGCCCGGUACCGAAUCAACGGAGACUAAUGCCCUUCAUAGCACGAAGAAAAAGGAACAGUCACGUGUCUAAAGGAACAUAAAGAAUGAGCAGAUAUGAGACCAUCCUGUCAUGGCUCUUCAAACUGCUCAUCCUCCAGCAUUAUGUCAGGGAAGUGUCACUUUUUCGGUCAACAUCGCUCCAUGAACAUACAAUUUCUUUACUUUGAAGAGUAUAGUUCACGAGGUGAUUUUUAACAAUGAGAAAUUAAAAUGUGUCCAAAUAUGAAAAAACCAUGCCUGUGCCACAGCUUGUACAAAUAAAGAUCAGUCAUGUUAGGAUAAUAUUUACUUUUAAGUAUUUGUGUGGGUGCAGGUUGUGUUAAUGUGUUACAAUAUAGAGUGCACUUGCUUUGCAGGUAAAGUGCAAGCAACCUGCAAAAUGCAAAGCAAUUAUGUGUGAAAAAUGUGUGACCUAACUGUUUCAUUACCUGCAGAUUAAGUGCCUAAUCAUUUUAAACUCCUGUCUCGCAAGUCUCUUACCAAGGCUUAGCUCUAAACCUACAGCAAGACAGCGAGACCUACAGCGAGACAAAUUGUAGAUAAGUAGCUGUUCUCUGAAUUCAAGAUUCAUAAUGGUGCUUUAGCAAAAUCAUGACCCUUGCUAUCACGUACGGACAAACCAAGACAGCCAGUGGCAUUAACGUAACCCAAGCAUAAAUUCAGUAGAUGAGGAGAGUUAAUGAUAUGUGGAGAUAAUGAAAUGGAAGUAUUUUACUACCUCGCAAAGCAAAUCAAGUAAACAUCUCAGAUGCACACAGCCACCAAUGAUCUGAUCAGUAUUUCCUGGUAUUUCUUUCAGUCAUUUUUACAUAAUAGUGUAGGAAUAUGAUGCCUGUGUUUUAGGAUGAAAGUGUUUUGAUCCAAUGAAUGAAAUAAUUUAACAAUGAUUAUAGGAUUACAUAUCAGACUAAGGGCAUAGUGACCUUAUAGUUUCCUGGUUGUCCUUGGCCAGCAAUUCACCCUGGUAGUUUCCAUCCUCCUCAGUAAGUAGAAUUUGGCCAAAAGAAAGGCAGUGGAACUUCUAAAUGCUACUGUAGGUUGUGGUAACAGUAUGUCGAAACACAAUCGAAACGUGCAAGCCAAGAGUUUGUGUUGGCUCAUUUGUCCUAGAUUUUAGAUGUCAUUUUAAAGAAAUGAUUUAAUCCGUGCUGUUCAAAAUUUCUAUAAUUCUUUUCUGGUUAACAAUUUGAUUGCACAGCAAUUGUGGGUUUUUUGUAUCAGUGGAUUUGUACAAAUACAUUUAAAUUUAUGCAUUUGGCAGUCCUUUAUCCAAAGUUAUACACAAGGCAUACACCCUGAUACAUUUUAUUAGUUUGUGUGUUCCCCAGACCUUUGCCCUUCUAAUGCAGUGCAACCAAUUUGGCUAAAGGAACAAAUAAGUGUUACAUACCCCCCCCCCCCCUUUAUAGGUGUGAAUCGCAAUGGGCGCAACAGUAGUCAGGCCUCAGUGUGGGAAAUGUGCAAUAUUUGUUUCUUUCCUUUACGUCGUGUUUGAAUAUGUAUAUUGUACAAACAAGUGACAAGUUGUUUGCAAAAACAACAAAAUCACCAAUGUCUUCCAUUAAAUGAUGUAUAGUUUCAUCCGCUUACUUUAUGGUGGCGGGAUUUUGUAGUGCCAGCAUAAACAUGGCCAUGCAUGUACGGUAGCGAUGCUUGCUGAGUUUAAUAGUCGUAGUGAAAUGUAGUAUACUGCUAUAAAGUUGUUUAGAAAAUACAUACAAUUAGGCAGACAAAGUUUUUAUUAGUAACCAGCAUGGAUGCAGCAUCCAUACUUUGAUCGAUCUGAAUAAGAGGCAAGUCAUCUUGACCUGAACUAAGAGCAUUGUUAAAGGGAUGUUAUUUUGGUUUUGCUGGUUAACACAGUUUUUUUGGUUAAUCACUAUUAGUGAACAAUAAUUUGUUAGCAUCCUGAGGGUUACAAAAAAAUGACGGUUGGUACUGAUGUGUGGCUAGCCAUGCUGAAUGCUCAUUUAUGUUUCAUAAGCACUGUGUGACUUUGUCCUAGUUUGUUCUGUGGAAAAUUAAGUACUGCGCCCAAAAUAGCAGUCAGGUCAAAAUGCAUGUCUCGAGAUAAUCGUAUUUAGGGGGAAAACUGCCCUUAGUAGCUUUUACUGUUCUGUUCUAUAAGGAUAUUCCUUACUGUGGAAUUAUUGUUUUGAUUUUUUACAAUAUUUAGUUAAAACCAGUUACACAGAAAAAUAUAUCUAAAGAGAUGUGUUUGAAUAAGUCAUACCUUCAUUGUUGUAUUUUUCAUCAGGUAUGUUGUCUCAAACUAGAGCUUUUGGGUAGUUUAAAAAGUAGCAUACACACUAGGUUUUAAAAUAAGGUCAAAUGCAUAAAGCAAUUAUCAAAGCAUUGUAAUGUAGAUAUAAUACCUCAAAAACUGGAAUGCAAACUGUAUUUUUAAAUAUACUCUUAAGAUAUGCAAGCCAUAAUGUGUAUUAAGUUCAUCAUUUAGAAGCAAUAACUGCAUGCAAGAAUUAUAAUAUAACAGUUCAGUAGUUUUUGUGAAAUUUGUAGCAUAUAUGUUACAUUGAUAGUGUGUUUUGAUCCAGGACAUCUCAUAUACUACUCCUCUUAGUACAUAAGCUAUGGUUUCAUUACUCAUGGACACUAAAAUAAUUUGUGAGGCCAGCACUAAAGGUCUGAAAAUGAUUUAAAUGAAGACCGUUUUUAUCUGGUGGAAAAACGUUGAUGGACAGUCUAUAUAUGCAGGGUCUGUGCCCUUUUAAUGACUUUGCAUGUUUACAUACAAAUCAUUGUGGAAUUCACAUAAGCUGUACAUUUGUUUGCAGCUCAUUAACAUUAACAGCAUUAUGAGCUGUGUUCUGGGUAACCGUUUGUUAAAAUCCCUAUCUUCAUAAAUGCAAGAAACUGGAUUUGUACCACAGUACAUUCACAAAAUGGUUCUGGUUGGUUCGUUUGUGGAAUUAAUGAGUAUUUGGAUUACAAAUGCAAAAAAAUAUUUUGCUGGUGCAUGGUAGUGAACAAGAUGUCUUUUGUGCCGCAUGCAAUUGAGCAUUGCUUAGAAAUGUUUAUGCAGAAAAUCAAAGAGUGGACCAUUGUUGUUAUUAUUUUUAAAUGCAUGAAAUUCCAAAUGUUUAUCUCUACUGUACAUGAUUUGAUGUUUCAUCAAAUGAGUAGAUUGUAUCAAGUUACUUUUCAAAUUUGAAUAUUGUAAAAUGAAAUUGUGAUUCAAGAAGCAAAUCCAAGAAAGUUAUCAAAGCUUGACAAUUUUUGGUUUUAAAUGUGUAAAAAUGUAAUUUGAGUUCCAAACAAUGUUCAUUGCAGAUGAUGCAGAACGAAAGUGUAUAUUGCUAUGCUAGCCUGCUGUGAUUGUGUUGCCGAUUUUGCCUCUGAAUGUGAAACUCAAUGCUCGGUCUAAUCUAUGCACUUCAGAUGUGUCCUGCAUGAUUUUGUACAAUUUAAAACUGUAUCAAAAUUUUAGCAAUAAAAAGCAGCAUGGUGCCAAUUAUAGAAAACA